rnacentral:lncRNA from 1 species
GGAGGCUUCGCCAGACCUUAACUACUUUAACUGUUUAUCAUAUUUCGUUUAUUCAUAUGUUUAUGGUUAUCAAUAACCUCAGCUAAAGGAAAAAGUCACAAUUGAAUUACUCUGGCUCUUUAUAAGCAAAUAUGUCACAGACUGGAAGUAAACAAUAACACAUGAGGCAUUGCAACGUCAUUGAUGGGACAUUGAGCAGAAAGCCGAAACCACAACUUUGUUUGCAAAAGCAAACAAAAAUUAUCACUGAGUAAUUAUCGCAAAAGUUUAAGAGAAUUUUAAAGACCGAAAUGCUUUGGUCAAACGGAGCACACUCUGGAGAGUCUUGUCUAGAGUCAAAAAUAGUACGAAUUGAUAAGAUUCCAUGCGCCAAGAGAGCUGUCUCGCCUUUUGCUUUGUAUUGGUUUUCAGUAUCUCUCGCUCUCUUUUGUGUUUUUGGGAGUUCUGCAGUUGUCUUGUUCUCGGGUAUCUUGAGAGAAUUCGAGUAUCUUAUCUGACUCACAAAAUGACAUAAAAAAAAGAUUGUCAGCUCUGGCUGUUUCUCUGUUUUUCUGUUUGCUUCGUUGUUGCUUGAAUUAACACCUUUUGCAGUUGUGAUAAUGACGCAGCCAACAACUGCUUGUGCGCUGGUGAUUGGUAAUCAACUGAAAUGGAAACAGAUAUAGGGAAAAACGCUCUUUCACGCUCCCUGCGCCGCCAGUUACCAGUAGUUGAGCGGCGAACGCGUUUCGAAAUGGACACGGACGAGAUAAAAGCGAGCACGGGCCUGGCCCACGAUGAAACCGACUUUACCAGCGGCUACGAGACCCAAUAUCGAAAGGAAUACAGCCCGCUGAAGCCGAUAUAUGUCCCGCCUCCCGAAAAGAAGCAUGCCUGGUUUCGCAAUUGGUCCACCAUCCUGAUGAUCUUCUUCCUGAGCAGCGUCUUCACUGUGGGUACCGUGAUUCUGGUGGUUCAGGUCUUCACGGCCAGCCCUCUGCAUGUCUUCAUCAUCGUUGCCGUCUAUGUGGCCAUUGCGGCGUUUAUGAUAUUUCUGGAGGUCCAGUCCAUCAAAGUGCGGUGAUCCUACCAACGAAAAUCAACACCAAAAACAACACUUCAUUGGUAGCAGUCUGUGACUAAUUUGUUGAGUUAUCGUAUAUAAAUUCCGUGCUAAUAUCCCCGAUUCGCUAUCAAAAUGCUCUUGGUUUGUGUGUUGUGCAAAUAAAUUGAAAGCUUAACAAAAACUUAGCCGUUAAUAACUUAAAUACCCAAGAUAUAAAAUAAGUAUUAAAUAAACAAAAACUCCCAAAAAAGAAACCAACAAAAAUGUGAGUUUUAUUAACUAAAUUUUGCUUAAUACAUAACAUUCACUGAUAAGCAUACAGUUGAUUCCAACAAAAAGCCAUAAAUAAACACAAUCUUGAGAGCGCUAAAUCGACCUAGAUUAGGCUGUUGUUUCUGCUAUCGAAGAGCGGCAACCAACGUGCAGUGGAGUACAUGAAAUGGCUGUCAAUAAUUUGUGAAAUUUAAUUACAAAUAAACUCAUAUUUGCCUAGCAACGAGAGCCAACAAGUGCCCAAGAUACAUACAUAUGUAUACCACUUGUAUACUUACACUCGAUGCAUGUGUCUAAUUAAUUAAUUUAAUAGCCCUAGCACAAUGGGCAAUUGAGACAAUGAGCCAUUACCACAUCAGUGAUAUGCAUUCAGUUAUGAAUGAAUUAUUUGGCUACAAGCAUUAGCUGCAAAUACCUUAAAAGCUUAAAGCAGACGCCAAAAUGUUGUAGGAAACCAUCUGUUCUCAGUGCAAAACAUUCUCGAUAACAAAUUUUGUUUCUAAACCUGCAACUUUCCCUGCAAAAAAUAUUCUAAUUCCUAUGUUCCCCAGCAAAUUUUAUUUCUAACCAUUUUCUAAAUAUUUUCACUCGGGAAAUUAUUUCCAAAUCACUUCUGUAAUUGCUUUUCACAUGCCACCAGUUAAAAAACUCUCCCCUUCCGCGGGCUAUUUUCGUUAUUUUUACAACAAUUUUCUCGCCUUGCAGCUGCAGCCUGUGCUCCUGUCAUCUGGUUGGUAAAAUUCUAGUUUAAUAGCUGGCAAUGCUACCAGCAUUUGGGUGGCAUAAAAAACUAGAACGACAAGCUCAUCCAGCACUUCCACAUGCGAAUCGCAGCUAAAAGAAAAAAAACUGAACGCGUUGGCCCAUUAAACUUUAAUUUCCGUUGACAAUGGGCGACAGUUUUUUUAUGUGUCACCCGCUUCUUUGAGACGAGGGCAACAGCUGACUUACCUUAAUUACUCACAGGACUCCUAGCCAUGCUAAUUAUUUGCAGGGUGCACUAUUUGUGCGCCAGACUAUGUCCAGACCUGGGAAACGGGAACCAGCGUGGCCAGCGCAUUUAAUUAUAACCCCGAGGAGGGCGCUUGGCUUGAGCAUUAAUUCCAUUUCCGGUCGCCGACAACCGAGGACCGUGUCGCGUCUCCUGGCUAGCUACACUUUUUUGCAAAAGCAAAAACAUUGCCUUUUGCUGCUAUACCCUGUUAAUGAGAGGUUUUUGUUGGGGUAGUCCUAAUAAAAGUACGUUUAACACUUAUAUUUUUCCCCCGACUCAUUUCAUCUGCAACGAGCACAAUAUCCUGCACCCAUUUCAUGCAUUCACCUCUUGGGUAUCAUGAAGUUCAGCUCUAACUACACAUGCUACAAUUUACUCAGCUUAACACUCCCUGUCUGACAGGAAAAGAGCAAAAAGACGAUCUGAUUAAGGUAAUGCGCCAAGUCAAAGCCUUGUUUAAGCUAAUUUUUUGAGACUGGAACAUAUAAAUCGGGAUUUGUGUGAAUUUAGUGCUCUCAUUUUGUUGUGCGAGAAUUGUGCAAAUUGCAACCGUUGCAAAAAUAUAUUCAACAUGCACAUGAGUUAUUUUUGCAUUGAUUUAUUGCUUAUAUGCCUUCUGGCUCAAUAUUGCACAUAAAAGGCAUUUAAACAAAAGCUGUCUUAUAUUUUAUUUCACAUUUAUUUGUAGAUUUUUUUCCUUUUUUAGGACAUUUAAAAAAAGCCGGCCAUGGUUGAUUUUUGCAUAGGCAAACGAACACAUUUAAUUUUAUUCAGAGUUUAUACAAAGCUUCGAAACAGCCAAAGGAGAAAUCUCGAAUGAAAGCAAGCUGGGAAAUUGUUACCAAAAUGCAUCUAAAGGCCAAGACAUGUGGCUAUUGCCGAGGGAAAUGUCUUGGAAUUUUAUUUAAGUAAAUCUAAGUUGGACGCUUUUCAUUAGCUCACUCAGCGAGUACCAAGAAAAGCAAAACUCAAAAAACAACAAGAAAAGGAUAGUAAAAAUAAAGGAAAAUAAAAUGCAUGCUAGAUGGUGUCCUCCUCAAUGUGUUAUCCUAUGGGAAUCACGUAGAGUUCUUAGAGUAAAUAAAAUACAAAUGCCAACUGACACUCCUCAGAGACUCGUUUUAUUCGUAUUCAACUCUGUGCAACAAUUUAAUAUGGUUUGGUUCGACUCAACAAUUGUAUUGCAAGUGGCUUGGAAAUGCAUGGCCAUUUUAUGUUAAUUAUUUAUGCAAAUUUCGCAAACUUAUGCGCUCUUAUUUUAUAUCCACACACAAUUUAUAAUUCAAUUACCAGACUACAAAGUGUAACCGCGUUAAUAAAACAACACAAAAAUGGACUCACUUUCAAUUAAAGCUGUCGCUUUUCCACACUUCAGUUGCAAAUAAUUCAAUUAAAAAGUCUUUAAAGAACUAUUGUUCAAUGGCGAAUAUUUUACUGUAAGUUAAAGUAGAUUCAGGGGGUAGCAUUCAGCCCGUCCCAGCAACAUUUGAAUAUUCAAUUAAGUCUAACUGCCAAUUCUGUGAUAAGCUCUCCAACCCGGAACACAGACAAUUCUUCUGGACCUGGGUGACUAGCCUUGGAACAUGGCCUACUGGCAAUAAUUUCUGUUGGAACCAUAAAGGAUGACACUUUCCAGCAUUAAGCGAGGAUCAACAUCAACAGCAUAAAGCACUCUGCAAAUGGUACACCACUUGAAUGAACAUUAAAGCUGUUCUGGGUCGCUGUGGAAAGUCAUCCAGAAAGAAUGAAAUAUGAAAGAACAUAGUCCAUACUGUGCUUAAUUUUCUUAAAAAAAAAUCAGUGGAAAAAGUAUCUGUUAGCACUUGCCUUUAACUAUUCUUUAAACCACUGUUAAAUCAAGUAAAUUUGUAUUUAUUGCACUGAGAUUUACACUACGAAUAUUCGGUAGAGUAACAAGCAUGUCAAAGCAUUUUUGUGACAUCCUUUAUUUAUUUUAUAACCAACAAAGGCC